rnacentral:lncRNA from 1 species
AGACUCCCUUUGCCUACCUCUUCCUCUCUGACCCCAUCCUCGCUUUGAUGCCCGGGACCUGCUACCCAGAAACAACGUGAGGCUCAGAGAGAAGAAAUGACUAAAAUUACACAGCUGGUACAUGGCAGAGGUGGAACUAAAAAGUUAAGUGUGUCUACCCCAGAGCCGAGUAGACCUGCUCUUUUUUGAACACUUCCUGGACUUUCAUGCCUUUGUCCCAGCUGUGCCCUCUCCCUGGAUGCCCCUUCCAUCUGGGCAGCUCCUACUAGACCUGCCUUGGCAUACAUAACACAGGAGAACGGAUUGCCAAAGGGUAGGAGAGUGCCUGGUCUAUAGUGUGCGCCCAACACAGAUUUGGUGAAUGAAUGAACACUGGGUCCAGCAGACCUGGAUUCUUCCAUGUAACCCACUGUGUGGCCUUGGUGGAGCCAUGCGGGUGCAAUAAUCCUGGUUUCCACCCUUCAGGGCUGCUGCUGGGACUCAGUGAGAUCAUCAUGUAUCUAAUGCCCUUUGCUCAGUGCUGGGCACACAGUCAAUGCGCAUUGAAUCUUAGCUAUUGCUACCUUUACAAUCAAUCAAAAGUCACUUCUGAAGAAUAGACAGGGCUCCCCCAGGCCAAAUAAAUAAUUCCUCCCGGGACAAACCCCAGCUCUCACUCCCUCCUCUUUAGGCAGGGGGCUCCCUGAAGGACAGAGACCCGGUUUUAUUCCAUCUUGCCGUCCCCCAUGGUGCCGGGCAUACAGUGGUGCCCAGUAAACGUGUGUGUUGCACAAACAUGCGGUAACUAGGGCCCCAUCUUUUUCAAAAGAACACACUCCCCAGGUGCAGCCGCAAAGAGAGACUGUUCAGCUGUUCAGGUGAGGUUUUGGGGUGAAACUCGUCUGAAUAAUAGUUUUACUGAACACAGCCUCACCCCCAACAAGGAGGCAAUUUGAGGUGGGGGUGGGGAGACUUAAAUGUGGGCUCCCGGGUUUUAAAGGGGGUAGCGCGGGAGGAAGCCCCCCAAUAAUUGCGGGGCUUCCCCCACCCCCAGAGCUGGAUUAGAGGCUGCGCCACUUCCUUUGGGGCUCGCUCGCGCUUCCUGGGAGCCUUUGAUGUGGGUUCUUGGUAGAUCCUGCCCGCGGGGCCUGGAUGCGGGCGGAGCCUCCGGGCAGGGCGGGGCCUCAGCCUGGGUCCGCACUGGGGAGGCGGCCACCCGGUAGCUUGGGCGGGUUCCGCCCACCUCCCGCCUGUAUUUACAGCCCCCUUCCAACAUCCCCGACUCCCUGAGGGCGCCCCUCAUUCUGCUCGGCCUUGCCUUCCCCAUUCGGCCACAUCCUCCUCUCUCCCAACUCAGCUUCGACCCCCAAAGCCUUUCCCUAACCAUCGGAACCACAGGCUUUUCUCCGGCCUCUGAGUGCCAGUCUUCAACUAGGUGUCUUUUAAAAAAUCAAAAAGCAUCUCAUCCUACGGGAUGUGUGUGAAAAAAUAAAAAUAAAAUAAAGAAAAAGGGGGCCGGGCGCGGGAGCUCACGCCUGUAAUCCCAGCACUUUGGGAGGCCUAGGCGGGCGGAUCACCUGCAGUCAGGAGUUCGAGACCAGCUUGACCAAACUAGAGAAACUCCGUCUCUACUGAAAAUACGAAAUUAGCCGCGCAUGGUGGCGCAUGUCUGUAAUCCUAGCUACUCUGGAGGCUGAGGCAGGGGAAUCUCUUGAACCUGGGAGGUGGAGGUUGCAGUGAGCCGAGAUAGCGUCAUUGCACUCUUGCCUGGGCAAUAACAAGAGCGAAGCUCCAUCUCCAAAAAAAAAAAAAGAAGAAAGAAAAAAAGAAAAAGAUAGCCCAUCGCUCCUCCAUUGCAGACCCAAAGGCUGUCAGCUGAAUGGAAGGUGCUUCCUCACGACCUUUGGGAUAAGUAAAUUUGAAGUAAUAGAAAUAGCCAGCUGGGCGCGGUGGCUCAUGCCUGUAAUCCCAGCACUUUGGGAGGCUGAGGGGGGCAGAUCACCUGAAGUUAGGAGCUCGAGACCAGUCUGGCCAACAUGGUGAAACCCCGUCUCUACUAAAAAUAAUUAGCCAGGCGAGGUGGCGUGCACCUGUAAUCCCAGCUACUCAAGGAGGCUGAGGCAGGAGAAUAGCUUGAACCCGGGAGGCAGAGUUUGCAGUGAGCUGAGAUCGCGCCAUUGCACUCCAGUGAGCCGAGAUCGCACCAUUGCACUCCAGCCUGGGCAACAAGAGCGAAACUCCAUCUCAAAAAAAAAAUUUUUUUUGAAAAAUAGGCCAGGCCUGCCUCAGUGCUCUUACACGUACUGUCCCCUCUGCCUGGAUCAGUUUGUGCCCCUGCCCCCAAAUUUUCAGGGCUGGCUCCCUCGCCUCCUUCAGAUCUCUGUUUGAAGUUCAGCUCAUGUCUGCCACAUGUCCUAACCACCGUAUUUAAAAUAGCAGCCUCAGGCCAGGUGCGGUGGCUCACGUCUGUAAUCCCAGCACUUUGGGAGGCCAAAGCAGGCAGAUCACCUGAGGUUGGGAGUUCGAGACCAGCCUGACCAACGUGGAGAAACCACAUCUCUACUAAAAAUACAAAAUUAGCCGGGCGUGGUGGAGCAUGCCUGUAAUCCCAGCGACUCUGUCUCAAAAUAAAAUAAAAUAAAAUAAAUAAAAUAAAAUAAAAUAAAAUAAAAUAAAAUAUAAAAUAAAAUAAAAUAAAAUAAAAUAUAGCAGCCUCUCACCCCACUCCACCUCUGGACUCCCUGUCCCCCUUCCUUGCUGUAUUUUUCUCCAUAGCAAUUACCACCACCAGCUGCCACACUCCAGAGAUUACCGUUCGUUUGUCUAUUGUCUGUCUCCCCCUGCUCACACCACCCCCAUUCGUGUGUGAGCUCCAGGAGAAGGGCCGGGGUUGCUGCUGCUCUUGCAUUGAGAGAUGACAGUAGCUCGGCCUCUUAGAGCAGUAUGACGAUGGCACAAGUUACUAUUUGCCAAGCACAGAGCAUGACGUCAUGCCCAGAAGCCCAGGAUACAAUCCAGAGACAAUGACAAAUGGGGGAUUCCCGCUUCUGCAGAAGGUGGGGCGACUGGUGCCCAGGGGCCCCCAGGAAGUGCCCUUACCUGACUCCCAGGAUCCUCCUCUGUGACCCUGGGGCCUUCCAACCUGCCAGGUACUUUUCCUGUAUUAUCUUAUUUUAUCCUCCCAAUAGCCUCUGUGAGCAGCACACUCCCCAUUUCACAGACAAGGAAACUGAGGCUUACACAAGUGAAGUGACCUGCUCGACGUUGCACAAGGAAGUGGCAAAGUCAGCCUCUGAAUCCAAGCCGUUGGGCUCUAAAGGCCCUGAUGCCACUCAGCUAACCAUGUGGCCUCUGGACAUCACUGCCAUCUUUUCUCUUACCCUCCUCUCCUCCUUGCACUGUGUUCUGAGGGUCAGCCUGACAACCCGUGUCCCCUGGGCAGAUGUGCAGAGGAAGAUCAAGUUGUUGUUCGCCAGGGGCCGAGGGCAAAUUUCUGGCUUCCCACGGCCACCACUUACUGGGAGUUUCGGAUGAGGUGCUUCACUGCCCUGAGCUCUUCUUCCGGGUCAAGUGGGGAUAAAAAUAAAACAAUACCCACCUUGUGGGAAGACAUGGGAUCCUGAAAAACCUGGCAACGUGCCUGGCACAUGGCAAGUACUCCGUAAAUGUCAGCUAGGAUUAUUUUUAUCAUUGACACCAUAUUUGGGGGCCCCAGGCUGGCAGAGUACCUGCCAGGUGUCACCCCCUUCCUGAGUCCUGACAGUUUGGCUGCAGGCCUGCGUGGAGGCUUGGAAGGAAGAAGGGAGGAAAGGAGGAAAGGAGGAAAGGAGGAAGGGGUCAGGGAAGCCCCUCUGUUUGUUUUCUGUCUCUGAGAACUUCCCAGUCUGACUCUAGCCCCUUCCCCUCCCUGCAGGCACUAACACACAAGUCCCCCAUUCACCAGAAAUCUGUCCCAGGCUCCCUGGCUGCCAUGCUCCCUGGAUAAACCCACCAGGAUGCCCUCAGCCCCUGAGGGAAGAGGAGAGAGCUUACACUCCUCCGGGCCCCUAUUUCCACGCCCAUCACCAGGCCUGGGCCCUCACAAGGCUACACACACACCAGGAAGUGCCAGGAACACAGCCACGCCAGAGCUCUCACAGAUGCCUGUGCACACACACACACACACACACACACCUUUCCAGGCAAACUUGCAUACACUUUCCUAAUGGCCAGGUCUCAGGGGCUCUGUAGGGACCACCUCGGGACAGGACAUGGUCUUCCCUCCCCCAUUCCCAUUCCCCUUCCUGCCCUGUUUCCCUCUGUCUGUCCAUCCAUCUUCAUCAACCAGUCCCAGUGGGCCCCUGCUCACUCCCUCCGUUCCCCCUCCAUCCGUCCGUCCACACAUGGGUCCAUCUGUCUGUCGCCUGCCUGUAGCUAGCCCUGCAGUGAGCAGUCUAUCCCUACCCAGCCCUGCCCAUCACUUCUGCCACAACACCCCUGCAAGAUCCUGUCCCUGUCCUCAGCAGGGUCUCUCAUCAUUUCUCUAGAACCCACCCAUCUAUCCCCCCACCCCUUCAGCUGUGUCCUUCAUCUGUCAAUCUGUCCAUCCAUCCAGCCAUCCAUCCAUCCAUCCAUCCAUCCAUCCAUCCAUCCAGCCAUCCAUCCAUCCAUCCAGCCAUCCAUCCAUCCAUCCAGCCAUCCAUCCUUCCUUCCUUCCUUCUUCCUUCCUUCCCACCUUGGCCCAGCCCCUCUCAGCCCCCUCUGCAUCCCAUCCAUCACUUCUCAGACAGGCCUCCCCAGCCAGGUAGUCACCUCCUAGCGGCUCCAUCUGUCUGUCUGUCUACCAACCCAUCCAUCCAUCUGUCUGCCAGCCCAUCCAUCAUGCCACAGGCCACUUGUCCAUUCUUGCCACCUUUCACAUGUUCCCUAGUUAGGCCCCUGUGGUAUCCCCCAGCCAGCGCAGUGUAGGUGGGGGGCGUGUGUUCAUGUCAGUAGAUAUGUCUGUGGCCGCCAGCAUGCCUUGUGCUGAGCAGAGGGCAAGGGACCUGGAUGAGGAGCUGGGGAGGGGUUGGGGACAGGAAGACUGGGAACCUCUUGGUGGGGGGCACAGCAGCUUCCCUGUGUAUUCUCCCUGUGGUCUGUUGCACCAUAGGCAUCAAUGGCCUGCUCAAAAAUAAAUACACGACUGGAAAACUCUCCCACCUCCAUUCUUUUUCCUUUUUGGGGGGGUGGUGGGGACAGAGUCUUGCUUUGUCCUCCAGGCUGGAGUGCAGUGGCACGAUCUCAGCCCACUGCAACCUCCACCUCCUGAGUUCAAGCAGUUCUCCUGUCUCAGCCUCCCAAGUUGCUGGGAUUACAGGCCUGCGCCACCACGCCUGGCUAAUUUUUGUUUUUUGGUUUUGUUUUUUCUUUUCCGGGAUGGAGUCUUGCUCUGUCACCCAGGCUGGAGUGCAAUGGCCGGAUCUUGGCUCACUACAACCUCCGCCUCCCGGAUUCAAGUGAUUCUCCUGCCUCAGCCUCCCAAGUAGCUGGUAUUACAGGCACGCGCCACCACGCCUGGUUAAUUUUUGUAUUUUUAGCAGAGAUGGGGUUUCACCAUUUUGGCCAGGCUGGUCUCGAACUCCUGACCUCAGGUGAUCCACCUGCCUCUGCCUCCCAAAAUGCUGGGAUUACCGGCAUGAGCCACUGUGCCCGGCUUCCGUUCUUCCUGAUUACUUAAGAGGGGCCUGACUAAUGCCCAGCAUGGUUGGGGACCCAGGCCCCUCAAGCCCUGGAAGUCCCUUGCCUGGGGUCAUCCAGUCUCCUCCCUCAAAGGGCUCUCACUCCCCACCGCCGCUCCCUCUCCUCUUCCUGCUGCUGAGAGACGAGAGACCAGCAGAAAGAGACUUGGAGAGACGGAGACACAGAGGCAGAUGGAGAAUGCUGGGCGCCCGGGAAAGCCCAGGAAGGAGCCCGGGCCACGUGGAGGAGAGGCAGGUGGGAGGAGGCAGGAGAGAGCAAGGCUGCCCAGGACAAUGGAGCGGGACCGGAGGAGACGCGGGGAGGGACGCGGGCCAGGGGUGCGGUGGGGGGCACGGGGUGGAACUCCGGGUCCCGUAGGGCGGGGUGGGGGAGUGGGUGGGGGGAUGGCCCACCUGCCGUGGGAGCGGGUCCGGAGGAAGCUAGGGUCUCGGGGUGGGAAGUGCUGUGUAGAAGCGAGCGCAAGAGGCGAGAGGAAGCGCGGCGGGGCGGCCCCUGUCCCAGCCUCACCCCCAUCCCCCCAAGUCUCGCACCCCGGUCCGCCCCAGCUUCCGGCUCCGCAGGUGCCGCCUUUGAGGGCCGCCGCUCGCAGUUUACCGCGGAGCCGGAGCCAGAGCCCCUUCCCCGCGGCGAGGAACUGCCUCUGCGUCUCGUAAAAGGGGUCUGGGCCUGGGGGGCGGCGGCCUCCGUCGCCAUGGAAACCGGGGCGGGGAGGCGGCGGCCCGGAGAGCCCCAUGCACUUUGCAUACCAUUGCAGGUUCCUCCCCUUGGGCCCCGCCAGCCUCGCUGGGCCCGCCUCUCUCUCCGCCCCUCCUCCCCAAACCCAUCACCCUUGCCUUUAUUUGUCUUAAAUUUAUUUUAAAAUGUAUUUAUUUAUUUUUUUCAAACAGGAUCUCGCUCUGUCACCCAGGCCAGAGUGCAGUGGUGCGAUCAUGACUCUCUACAGCCUUCCAUCUCCCCAGGCUCAGGUGAUCCUCCCACCCCAGUUUCCCAAUAGCUGGGACCACCACGCCUGGCUAAUUUUGUGUGUGUGUGUGGUGAUGUCGCCCUCUGUCACCCAGGCUGGAGUGCCGUGGCCAGAUCUUGGCCCACUGCAACCUCCGCCUCCCAGGUUCAAGCAAUUCUCCUGCCUUAGCCUCCUGAGUAGCUGGGAUUACAGGCGCGUGCCAUCACACCCGGCUAAUUUUUUUGGUAUUUUUAGUAGAGACGGGGUUUCACCACGUUGACCAGGCUGAUCUCAAACUCCUGACCUCGUGAUCUGCCUGCCUCAGCCUCCCAAAGUGCUGAGAUUACAGGCGUGAGCCACCGUGCCUGGCAAUGCCCGGCAAUUUUUGUAUUAUAGAGACAGGGUCUUGCCAUGUUGCCCAGGCUGGUGUUAAACUCCUGGACUCAAACAACCUGCCCACCUCCGCCUCCCAAAGUGUUAGGAUUACAGGCAUGAGCCACUGCACUCGGCCACCCCUGCCUUUAAAAGUCACCUCCUCCAGGAAGCUUUCAGCCACCACCACCACGCCCGGUGGCACCACUGACACUUCAUAACAAUAAUAAUUCAUCAUCACUGUGAUCGUGGCUAGGCUUGGCUGAGCUUUGUCUCUGUGCUUCCUUCACCCCCAUCUUCUUCUGUCCUCAUACCAACCCUGUAUGGAGAGGCCACUUUUGUCGAUAUUUACAAAUGAGAAAACUAAAGCUGGUAGGGGGUCUGCUCAAGGUCUCACACCUGGAAAAUUCCCUCCUCAUUCUAGUCUCAGUGUUCUCAUUUGUAAAAAGGGAAGCUCGCACCAGGCGCUUGCCGAGUGACCACGCAAGGGUGGGAAUGAGACCGCAGGUUUGUCUGAGCAGGGGCUGAGUGUGGCAUUCUGACUCUGAAGGCCUGUAGUCAGGGUAUGCAUGCUCUAGUUCACCUCAGCCCGGCUGCGUCACACCCCCACUCUGUCCCCCAGUGCAUCCCCACCCUUGGGACCCUAAGUGAAUCUCUCCAGACCAAGCUCCUAGUGACUCAAGAGACAUCUCUAAGGGGUCUUCCAGCUCUGCCAUUCUGAAGUCUUAGCUUAUUGAGAGGGUGACUCCUUGUGCUGUCUCCCUCCUCUGACUGGAUGCUCCUGGGGGUGAGGGGCUGUGCCUCUCCUGUCAGACGGGACACUGCUAAGGGUUAGGACACCUCUGUCACUCCCCUAGGUCUGUGGUCACUAGAAAUGCCCAAAUCCAGGCUGAAGGCUGACCAUGUCUCUCCAAGCACAAGCACACCCCAAGGUGCCCCAGUCCCUUGUCCUGAUCCUGAGAUCUGAGGUCUACAGGACUGGGUUCUUGGUGGGGAAACCUCCAGCUCUGCCAUAAAAAGAAAGCCUCAUCCCAGACCUUCAGACCCGUUCCAGCACAGGCUCAGAAGAGGAGAAAUGGGCCCAGAGACAACUUCCAGGG